GAUGAACGCUGGCGGCGUGCCUAAUACAUGCAAGUCGAGCGGAGAAAAGAAGCUUGCUUCUUUUCUUAGCGGCGGACGGGUGAGUAACACGUAAGUAAUCUGCCUUAUAGACUGGGAUAACAUCGAGAAAUCGGUGCUAAUACCGGAUGAUAAUUUUGUUCGCAUGAACGAAAUUUGAAAGUUGGCUUUUGGCUAACAAUACAAGAUGAGAUUGCGGCGCAUUAGCUAGUUGGUGAGGUAACGGCUCACCAAGGCGACGAUGCGUAGCCGACCUGGGAGGGUGAUCGGCCACACUGGGACUGAGACACGGCCCAGACUCCUACGGGAGGCAGCAGUAGGGAAUCUUCCGCAAUGGACGAAAGUCUGACGGAGCAACGCCGCGUGAGUGAUGAAGGCCUUCGGGUCGUAAAGCUCUGUUGUUAGGGAAGAACAAGUAGUAUUCGAAUAGGGUGCUACCUUGACGGUACCUAACCAGAAAGCCACGGCUAACUACGUGCCAGCCGCCGCGGUAAGAC
rnacentral:rRNA from 1 species